rnacentral:rRNA from 1 species
GACGAACGCUGGCGGCGUGCCUAAUACAUGCAAGUAGAACGCUGAAGGAGGAGCUUGCUUCUCUGGAUGAGUUGCGAACGGGUGAGUAACGCGUAGGUAACCUGCCUGGUAGCGGGGGAUAACUAUUGGAAACGAUAGCUAAUACCGCAUAAGAGUAGAUGUUGCAUGACAUUUGCUCAAAAGGUGCAAUUGCAUCACUACCAGAUGGACCUGCGUUGUAUUAGCUAGUUGGAGAGGUAACGGCUCACCAAGGCAACGAUACAUAGCCGACCUGAGAGGGUGAUCGGCCACACUGGGACUGAGGCACGGCCCAGACUCCUACGGGAGGCAGCAGUAGGGAAUCUUCGGCAAUGGACGGAAGUCUGACCGAGCAACGCCGCGUGAGUGAAGAAGGUUUUCGGAUCGUAAAGCUCUGUUGUAAGAGAAGAACGAGUGUGAGAGUGGAAAGUUCACACUGU